UUGUGUGUGAUAACUAGGGUUUAUAAUCUUCAACCACUGAACAUUUUUAGUCUGCCCUUCCACGAAAUAUUUAAUUAGAAUUUUGUUAAAUGUUUAAGAAUUUUCUAAAAUUCCACCUAACAACCGAUCAAACAAUAGUUUUAAAUUGAAUCAAUGCAGACAAGAUCAUUAACUGAUGCUCAUUAGCUAGUAGAUACAUUUGUCUUUUAAAAUACAACUGACAUAUAAGGAUCG
rnacentral:lncRNA from 1 species